GCGACGAAAAGAGUAAAGAAAAGCUCUCGUCCAAUAGGAUGCAGCGAGAGCGCAUAGCGACGCUGAGACUCUCGCGCAGCGCAAAGCAUGCAAACGUAUGCAGCGGCGCCGCGCUGAGCAGAAUUAGAAGCUCAUGCAGCGGAAUAGAAUCCCGAAGGCUCAGCGCUAAGCGCAGAAAUUAAGCUCGAUCACUUAUCUUUGGACCCCAGCAGCGAGCAGUCAUAAUUGCGGAAAGAAAACGCCACGACGAUAACAUGACGCCACCCGCUGCAAAUCGCCGGUAAGCCGACGGGAUUUAUAUCCCAUUGCGAAUCAACACCCACCGAGGGAAACCCCAACCCCUGCCAACGUCCCUGAAGCAUCACCAAGGAAAGCCCCAACCCCUGCCGACAUCCCUGAAGCCCCACCGAGGAAAAUCCCGAGCCCUGCCGACAUCCCUGAAGCCCCACCGAGGGAAACCCCAAGCCCUGCCGAAACCGCCCCUAUCAUCAACGACCCUGAAGAUAACCGUUCCACUUCUUGCACCCCACCCCCGUUCGGAGGAGUCACAUCUGCCCAGACCCUGUCGGACGACAGUGGGCAGGGCGGCGGUGAGGAAGCAACACCCGAGCGGAAUUCCCCGAAAUUCAUACCACAAACCAUCCUCACAGACUCGGGUAGCCAUCAGGGAGAGGGCCACAACGUGCGACGACGACGCCACGAGAGAGCAGAGGACCCAGCCCCGCAAGUCCCUGGGACCCCGGAGUGCUGGGUUGCCACGCCAGAGGGAUGGCUCACGGAGGAGACCAGGCUGCCCCGAGACCUCGUAGCUCACGUGGCGCUAGAAAUGCAGCAGCCGGCACCGAAGCGCAUACACUAUGCGUGCACCUUUAACCAUUGCCGCUACCGGGUCGGUCGGUCCCGAACCGGGCCGCCAGCGAUACGUCGGCUGGACGGAGAACCGACAGCGGGUACCCCUCAAUAAACUCCCCAAUAAUCCCCACGGUAACAAAGUGUGUGCACACUUACAUUUUUUCCCAAGGAUUUCUUAUUAUAGUAGCCCUAAGCACCCUUGUAUAAAAAUCAUGAAAUACAAAGCUUAAGCUAAAUGGA